rnacentral:tRNA from 1 species
UCAAUAGGUAAUUUAAUUUAAAUUAAAAUAUUAGUUUUGGAUACUAACAAUAUAUUUUAUUCUAUUG